rnacentral:rRNA from 1 species
UACGAAGGGGGCUAGCGUUGCUCGGAAUCACUGGGCGUAAAGCGCACGUAGGCGGCUUCUUAAGUCAGACGUGAAAUCCCCAGGCUCAACCUGGGAACUGCGUCUGAUACUGGAUGGCUUGAAUUCGGGAGAGGGAUGCAGAAUUCCAGGUGUAGCGGUGAAAUGCGUAGAUAUCUGGAGGAAUACCGGUGGCGAAGGCGGCAUCCUGGACCGACAUUGACGCUGAUGAGCGAAAAGCUAGGGGAGCAAACGGG